AAAGGGGAUCUACCAAUUGGGCAAAGUAACUGACUUCAUAAACAACUUGAGUGACAAGUGUGGGGACUUCUGUUAUAUGGAGGACAUUUAUUUACCAUGAGUUGAUUGUAUGAUCUCUUCUUUUAUAGACACAUCUCUUACAUGGAUGCAGGAAACCAAACAAGAAUUUUGGAGUUCAUCCUCCUAGGACUUGCAGGGGGUCCAGAGCUGGAGCUCAUCCUCUUUGCACUUCUCGUGUCCAUGUACCUGGUAACAGUGCUUAGGAAUCUGCUCAUCAUCCUGGAUGUCAGCUCUGACUCCCACCUCCACACUCCCAUGAACUUAUUCCUCUCCAAUCUGUCCUUUGUUGACAUCUGUUGUAGCUCCACUAGUUCCCAAGAUGCUGGUGAACAUCUAUACAGGGGACAAAGCCAUCUUCUACAUGGACUGCUUCAAUCAGCAAGUCUCAGUGGCCUCUGUGAUGUACACCUUGGUGACCCCCAUGCUGAACACCUUCUUCUACAGCCUGAGGAACAAGGAUGUGAAGGAGGCCCUGGACAGACUCCUCAGGAGAGCAGCCUCUUGUUUGUGAUGUGUCCAUUGGCCUAAGACUAAGAAAUCCUAUGUUUAUGAAAGCCAGAAAAUAAAAAAUAAAGAAAGAAUAAACUAAGGUGUAUUAUGAAAUUCUUAUCUCUGAAUCUCUUAAAUCAUCUUGUUUUUUCACUUAAUGUGGAGGAUCUAUGACUUUUCUCUUCCAGAUUUUAAACACUGUUCAGAAACUCAUCUCCUAGUAAUGUUUCUGAUGGCAUCUCUCCCCUAGCACUAUCCAAAAUUGGCACCUUUCAUCGUCUUUUUAACUUUCACACUAGUGAAUUUUAAACUUGAACUUGAAGCAUUUACUAUUGCUUCAUUACCUCCAAUGUUGCCAUAAGGUUCUUAGAUUUACUUCCUUCUCUCCUUCUUUCCUUCUCCUUUCUUUCCCCCCUCUCCUUUUCUUUCUUUGUUCUUUUCCCUCCUUCCAUUCCUCAGUUCCUCCCUUUCUUCCUUUUACUUGCAAUACAGGUACUGGGGGCCUCUCAGAUUCUAGAUAAGUGCUCUAUAGCUGAGAUGUGGUCCUGCCAUCAUGUUUGUAAAUUAUGGAUUGUAUUCACUUAUUUCUAUG
rnacentral:lncRNA from 1 species